AAUCUAUGGUGUGGGCAAUUCCUGAGCAUUGAUUUGAAAUGUUCCCAUUCUUCGUAAAGUGAUUCACCUUCAUAUUGCUUAAAUUUGGCGAUGUCUCACCUAAGCU
rfam:Gossypium raimondii chromosome 4, whole genome shotgun sequence.